rnacentral:rRNA from 1 species
UUAAGUAAGGAAGGGCGUACGGCGAAUGCCUUGCCACUCGAAACUGAAGAAGGACGCGCCAAACUGCGAAAAGCUCCGUGAAGCUGUAAGGAAGCGAAGAAGCGGAGGUGUCCGAAUGGGGGAACCCGGCAGCAGACAUGAGCUGUCAUCUGCAGGUGAAUACAUGGCCUGCAAGAGAGGUACCCGGCGAACUGAAACAUCUAAGUAGCCGGAGGAAAAGAAAACAACAGUGAUUCCCUGAGUAGCGGCGAGCGAAAGGGGAGAAGCCCAAACCGGUCCGAGGACCGGGGUUGAAGGACCAUGAUAUGGCAAGAGCGAGGAUAGGAGAACGGGAUCGAAAGCCCGGCCGAAGAAGGUGAAAGCCCUGUAACCGAAAUCCGAGCGAAGCCUAAUGGGAUCCUGAGUACGGCGAGACACGAGAAAUCUUGUCGGAAGCAGGCGGGACCAUCCGCCAAGGCUAAAUAUAAACGAGUGAGCGAUAGUGAACCAGUACCGUGAGGGAAAGGUGAAAAGAACCGCGGGAGCGGAGUGAAAGAGAACCUGAAACCGUAUGCCUACAAGAAGUCAGAGCCCGUUAAGGGGUGAUGGCGUGCCUUUUGUAGAAUGAACCGGCGAGUUGCGACAGACUGCGAGGUUAAGGAGGAAAGACCGGAGCCGAAGCGAAAGCGAGUCUUAAGAGGGCGAAAGUAGGAUGUUGCAGACCCGAAACCGGGUGAUCUAGCCAUGAGCAGGUUGAAGUUGAGGUGAAACUCAAUGGAGGACCGAACCGACUACCGUUGAAAAGUUAGCGGAUGACUUGUGGCUAGGGGAGAAAUUCCAAUCGAACCCGGAGAUAGCUGGUUCUCCCCGAAAUAGCUUUAGGGCUAGCGUCGGAAAGAACCUUAGUGAAGGUAGAGCACUGAAUGUGUGAUGGCCCCAUCCCGGGGUACUGAAUACAAUCAAACUGCGAAUGUCAUUAAGGAUGUCCGGCAGUCAGACUGUGAGUGAUAAGGUCCAUGGUCAAGAGGGAAACAGCCCAGACCGCCAGUUAAGGUCCCAAAAUACAGGCUAAGUGGAAAAGGAUGUGGGGAUGCCCAGACAACUAGGAGGUUGGCUCAGAAGCAGCCAUCCUUUAAAGAGUGCGUAACAGCUCACUAGUCGAGUGACCCUGCGCCGAAAAUGUACCGGGGCUAAGCCUGAUACCGAAACUGCGGAUUGUAGGAAACUAUAGUGGUAGGGGAGCGUUGUAUACGAGCAGAAGCCGUACCGUGAGGAGCGGUGGAUUGUAUAGAAGUGAGAAUGCCGGUGUGAGUAGCGAGAUGUAGGUGAGAAUCCUACACACCGAAAGCCCAAGGAUUCCAGGGGAAGGUUCGUCCGCCCUGGGUAAGUCGGGACCUAACGCGAGGCCGAAAGGCGUAGUGGAUGGAAAGCAGGCGAAAGAUUCCUGCACCCGUAUAUGGAGCGAAGGAGUGACGGAGACGGAUAGUGUGACCCUCUUAAUGGAUUGAGGGCGAAGCGAAGCGGCUGGUUACCAGGCAAAUCCGGUAACCAAAAGGCUAGAGCGUGACAGGUAAGCGAAAUCUUAGGAAAGUAGCGAAGCACAUGAUGACGGCUUCCAGGAAAAGCUUCUGGCAAUGCAUAUGCGGCCCGUACCAAAACCGACACAGGUGGGCAGGGAGAGAAUCCCGAGGUGAGCGAGAGAACUGUUGCCAAGGAACUCGGCAAAAUGACUCCGUAAGUUAGCGAGAAGGAGUGCUUAAGCAAUUAAGCCGCAGUGAAGAGGCCCAAGCGACUGUUUAACUAAAACACAGCUCUCUGCGAAGUCGCAAGACGAAGUAUAGGGGGUGACACCUGCCCGGUGCUGGAAGGUUAAGAGGAUCUGUUAAGAGCGAUCUGAAGCAGUGAUCCGAAGCCCCAGUGAACGGCGGCCGUAACUAUAACGGUCCUAAGGUAGCGAAAUUCCUUGUCAGGUAAGUUCUGACCC